UCACAUGCUAUAGAAUUCUGGAAAAGACAGAGUAACUUGUACUUUUAAGCCAUGGUGGCAGACAAACUGAUGUAGGAGAGUUUGGUGCCUACCACCAUUCAUGAAACAAGGCAAAUCACAAAAAACUCAACUAGAAUUAAACAGUAGGGCAGUUAUUUUGAUUUCAGGACACAUCCUUUCCUUUAAACCAGCAAUAGCCUCACAUGACUGAAAUAGCAUAGGUCAGUCCAGACUAAAGAGCUCCUCAUAGCCUCAGCUUUUUCCUUCUAGACCUAAACUCCUUUGUUACCUCCACAGGAAUAAUUUCCUAAAACUUUAGGAUUGCUGUCAGCUGUCCAGGUUUCCAUCAAAUUUGCAAAAUCUUUUUAAAUCUGGACACAGUUUUCUCGAGUGUAAGCAAAGCUGCAAGGAGCAGAAUUAUUCUCCUGUCCUGAAAAGUCAUACCCUAUUUAUAUACCUGGUGCAGUACUCAUUUUUUGCAGCUUCAUUACACUGUGAACUUGUCUCAUUUGUCCAUCACCCUCAGGUCUUUCUCUGCAUUACUGCAUUUAAAACUUAUGAUUAGUAAACUGGCCCUAAAUAAAAAUUCUUAACCAGAAUUUUGAGUAUUUAGACAAGAGAACACUCCUUUACUUUCCUAACUCCAUCCUCCCUAGUCAUGCUGCAAACAAACACAUUUCCUCCCACCACACACUAAUUCCAUUAUAAUGACUUCUCAAAAAAGCUUUGCUGUGGGUUGAGAGGAAAUUGAAAAGAAAAGAAAACACCACGCAGAGGCUCCAGUCCUAUCACCGGAAGGUAAGUGCAGGUACUAGAUGUACAUCUACCAUUCAUUAAACCUGAGGAUGGAUCCAAGAGUUGCUGUUUUGUUACAGUCACAUCUGCUCUAGCACCUUUCUGUUUUGAACACCUCUCUCUGAAGCAUUUCUCUGCAAUCUCUGGUGUCCCCUCAAAUAUCCCCUCAGAGCUGGAAAACUCUAUUGAUGGCAAUUGGGCAUUUUCUUCUCCGUGUAAAAGUCUAGUUCUAAGCCAUUUAAUUCACAAUAUGGGAGUAUGCUGAAGUUACAUUUUAAACUAUACGUCUGUAGCAAAGACCUCUGGAAACUUCUACAUAAAGCACGGUAAGAUUAUGUUCUUAGUUUAUAUCAUUCUAAAAGUUGAUGCUCUGUGAAAAUUGCCACAAUAAAAGAAAAACCACGCAUGACACUACAGCAUGAUUUAUGUACUUUGCAUCAAGGUUAACUGCUGCAAAAUUGGCUUCCUGAUGUGACAGAAAGUUUACUCAUCCUCUCUUCUGCUGAUUGCAUUCCUACCAAGCAGCAAACUCAUGAAAAAAGGACAGCCUAUGGCCAGCACCUGUUCCCACUUGUGUUAAACUGCAGUCACUAUUAAGAGGCUAUUGGACCUUCACCCUCAGGCAUUUUCCAAACAACUCUAGACACAGGCAGGGCUGCUCUGACAAAGCAUCAGCAAGGGUUCUGCUUGAAGCAGGAGAUGGGGCAGAUGAUGACCACAAGAUCCUUCCACACAAUGCUUCAUGUGAAAUUAGCAGGAAAGUCAGUUACAUCUCAGUGCUUUUUAGAUGUCAAGUACUGAAUAACAGAAGAGGCAAAAACACAUCUAAAAAUAAAAAUAGUCAAAGGAUGCCUUGUUUUUCCUGUCUCCUAACAGUAAUGAGAGCCAGGAGCAGGCAGAAAACACAAAAGAUCUCUUUCUCUCUGGCAGCUCAGGCGGGUGACUCACAGCGAGCGAUGAACUCUCCGUAUGCUGCUCCUGUCAGUGCCGGGCGGAUUUGCUUUCUGAGCCCUGACCUGGGCCAUACGGCAGCGGACAGAAACACGGAGCCUGACUUCUUCCUAGCAGCUUUGCCAAUAAGAAAACGCUAAGGACAGCCGAGGACAGCGAUCACCGAAACUUCACAUUUGCAAUGCAGCUAAAAUCCCGGAGCCAGGAGAGCAGGUUGAAGGAAUGCCAGCACUCACACCCCACAGCUGCUCUGAAUUGCAGUUAGCCACCUCAGAGCUUUCUUCCCAGAACUCAGAGCGCCAUUGCAUGCCAUUAACCUUUACUCCCACCCAUCUCCAGCAGGAAAAUUUAUGUGUUCUUGCACUCCUCUGCCAGGUAUGUUAGACACUAAAAAUUGUAGUUUUCCUUGUGACUUCCAAGCCAGAGCUAACAAUUAAACAAAGGCAGCUCUGAGGAUGGUUUUGCAACAAACUUAUUUUUGUAGCAAACUUAUUUUUUGUCCAGUGAGGAGGUGCUGACAGCAUUUUUUCUCGUAUUUUCUCUUAGCAUUUUCACAAUACUAUACCCAAAGAAUGCUGUUUAUGCUCCUCCAGACUAAUAGGCAGACAGAAUCUUGAAAUGAAGUUUAUUUUUUUUUUAGUCUUUCACUUGUGUUUUGCAGAACUAACAGUUUUUCAUAUCAGCUAAAUUUACUAUUACAUUUAUUAGAGCCAGAAAGCAGAAUUUCAUUUCGUGUGGCCUUCAGCUAUGGACACUAAAAGCCAGUCCCUGCAGCUCGAAUAGCACUGUACUACUGUCUUGAUUCCCCAUGUAAACAGAUUUUGUUUUCAUAGGUCUUACACCUAAAGGCAACAAGCAUUAUGGCUGUGACAUCUGCUGCCACUGCAGCUGUGGCUCCAGCUGGUUUUCUGCCCUGGGGUACACUAACAGCCCAAUACUUGGAUUCUGAGGGGAGGGAAUGUAUUAUAGGUCAUAUCAUCAUAAUCACCAAUCAUGCUAGUUAUUGUUUUUGAAACAAAUUUUGUUUUACAGAAAGUGUGAUUUAAAAGCAUUCCCAAGAUUGCUCAAGCUUGGGAGCAACAUACCUGUUUUUCCUGUCUUUUUUGAAUACAGUGUGUAACUAUUUACCUGUACACCAGGCAGAAGGAGAGUAUUUCAUGGCUGCUUUCCACAGCUCAAAAGAACCAUCACCAAGGGCUAAAAAGAACCAUCUCCACAAUGUACAGGCUUUAUGACUGACAGUUUUUCCUGGGGAAUUCACCAGAAAAUGAACCACAUGACUUAAUACUAAAUGUAGGGUUGGUGGAAGCUUCCAUGUUCAUACUCUGGAUGCUUCUUGACCACAUUCUGGAAAUGGCUCAGAAAGUGGCAGUGCAUUUUCCCUUCCUAAGGUUUUCCUCCUUUCUUUGAGAAUAAAGCUCCUUGAUCGCGCAAGAGGUACCUCUAUUCCAAGCUACCACCACCCUUCCUAAGAAGUCUGUCCCUGCCUUAUGCUUUCUGCUUCAAGCCUAGUUCAGUUUUAUUUUAAGUGCUGCAAACUUUGACUGUGGCACAUGACGUAGGUGAAUUUCUGGAACGUCCUGAAGUGUAAGUGUAUCACAGAAUUUCCAGUGACUGUGGGAGAUUAGUCCUAGUAGCUGUAGUGGCUCCUUUCUCUCCUAAACUAACCCGUAGAUCCCAUUAGUGACUGAGCUGCUACACAGACACUUGUCCAUCAGGAACUAUCCCUGCCAGAAAAGAAGCUACUGAAGAGCAUUCAUGAGAAAUUAAUUAUAUUUAAUUCCAAUUUGGAUAGAUUUGAAUCUGUGAAUUCAGGGUAAAGAAGAAUGAGUUCUCUGAGCAAAUUUCCUACUGCAAGAUAUUCUAAAGAGAGCCACAUGGUGUCAACAGUUGACUUCUGACAUCCAGUCACUACACAAGGUCAGGUAAGGGGAAAACGAAUGCAAAAGUAAUUGUUUAGGAAAAAACAGGCAACAUCAACAAGACUUGUGAAUUUGACAGAUACAAAAGGAGCUUGUGCUUAACCUAAGCAAAGAUGCAAAUGUUGGUAAGUACGCACAUUUGUUUUCAUUUGAAGACAGAACCAUUGAUCUGUUUGCCCUUGCUAUGUUGUCUAACUGAUGUAUGAUGCAAAGUGCCUUUUCCUUAGCACGUACACUGUGCACUGGUGACUACACAAAGUGCGUGACUUGACAGGAAACAGAUAUCUCAGUUCUCUUGAAUUAAAGAAAACAAUGUAAUUGGACACAAUUCUCCCUUGAACACUCUUAAAAAAUUCUCCUUUCUGAAAAGUGAUACUCUGAUCAGGACUAGCUUAAGACGCAGUUACAGGCCAGUUCACCUGUGAUGUGUUAAGUGACACACAAGUCAUCAACAUCUUAUGUUCUUCAAGAAAAUAUCACUGAAAAUAUAGUCCUGCUCUUUGUUAAGAAAUGCUUUAAAAUUAGAACCACGUAAAAUUAGUGAAUUGAUAUUUUGCCCAGAAAUUGCCACAAAGGACCAUUCUGAAGAGUGAAAUUGCACUUGAUCUAGAGCUAUAGCGUACCGAGAACCCAGUCUGCCCUAAUCCAGCUCCAGCCCCCAUAGAUUACACGUUCCCAUUACCUUUGGGGUGUGUUAGAACAAUCACUGGUGUGCAAUUUCCAAUUAAACUUCUUCAGGAAGAAAUCCAGUUCCUGUCCUUCAGAAGUGACGUAACUUAAAGAACACCAAGCACAAAAGAUUCAGAGGUAAGUCUGAUUCACGUCACAGAAACAUUUAUGUAGCACUCUUAACCAUUCUAUCCCUGAGAGCAAAAUGCUCCUCCAGCAAAAGAAAAUUGGCCAGGGUCCCAUUUAUGUUCAUCUACAUGAAGAAGCUAUUGCAAAACAAGCCAGGUGUGAAUUCAGAGUACAACAGUCAUUUAUCUUCUCUCUCCUUCUGAAUGUUUAUUCUUCUCUUAAGGCUCUGGCAGGUUAAACUGAGGUGUCUGUUCACAGCUGGACGCAUGCCCCUUGUUCAGAGGUUUCUGUCUCCAUUGUAAGGUUGGAUCAGCUGCGGCAACAACUGCUGGGCUGCCAUAAAUUACAGACUAAUGUUAAGGAAAACCAUCAUGCAUAAUACACAAACAAGAACACAUGAGCAUGCCAGCUAUUCCUCGGCAUUUUAAGCAAUGUAAAGGCCGUAGAGUAGAUGACAUUUCUGGUUAGUCAGAAAAAAAAUCUGUCAAGAAGGACCCAUAGAAUGCCUUGCGCUGGAGCUGAAACACCGAGUGCCCCAGGAGUUCACAGAUAAGCAUCACUGAAAUAUAAUUGGUGCCCACACCACCAAUGAAAUCAAAUAAUUUAUUCCACAUUGUUUUGUUUGAGCCGCUUUUCUCAUAAAAGGGUCUUCACAGAUGAGCAGAAUUCUGUUUGUUGUAUCCAAUUAGGCUUCCAAGCAACUUCUUUUGUAAGAGUGGAUCAUGUAAAAACAAACACAUGCAUAGACAACCAUCCAGCAAUUGUAAGGCCAUCUAGCUCUGUCUGUUUAUCUAUGGAUCUUUAGACUUCAGCCCUAAGUAAAUGAUAAAAUAACGGAGGUAGCCUUUUACCAGAGGAAAGUAUAACCUGAAAUACUUCUGCACUGAAAAUUUCUUCCUACCUUUUCUUAUAAGUUUUAGUAUCGUUCAGAAAUAAAAAAAAUAGAAAAAAAAGUUCAGGAAAAGUACACUUCAGAAUAAUUUCAAAAAUGCAUUUUUGGCUAUGAUUUUACUUCUGGUUCAGGGGCCUUUAAGUAAUGAUGGAUGAAAUUCACCUUUAUGAGUACAAAUAGAGCUUGAAAGGUCAUGAGUUAUGUAAGAAAAUUGGCCACAAUUACUUUUUUUUGAUGUUUCAGAAUGAUUUCUCUGUCUUCUAAGAAAAGGCUGUUUCUAUUUAUGUAGAAAACCUCCAGGAGACCAUUCUAGCUUCUGAAAAAUGAAAGACAGGACUGCUUCAAGUAGCUGCUAGGCCCUGUCAUAAGGCUCAUGCUGCAGUUUGCUGAUCCUGUCAGGCUCCACAGGAGGAAAAUAUUAAACAUUAUGAUAUAAAAUUAUGUACCUACUGAGCAUAUGAUCCAGGAGCUGGCAACCAUUUAAUCCAGCUUUCAUGCAGCAAAACCCAACUUGUACAUUCCAGCAACCAGAAGUUCUGCCCCCGGUUCUUAAGCCCUCCUUACAUCACAGCAUACUGGCAAGCCCUCUCCCUCAUUAUGGCUUCCAAAAUACGUCUUCUCCUUGGUGACCAGCAGGGAAAAGUUAGCUCCCAAAUAAGAUAUUUUUGUUAUAAAAGCACACUUAGUAUCAUUUUUCCCUAAUGAAGCCAUUAACGUUUAUGAAGAAUAUCUGCAUCAGUUUGAAAACCUGUCUGAGAAAAAUCUCUGUGCAAAGUGUUUCAAGGAACAAAUCAAAACAGCAAAUAUGAACACUUUAACACCUGAGCUCCAGAGAAAUUUGGCUGUUGAAAAGCAGAAUCACAUUUUCUGCAGGAGGUUCUGCUUGACAACAAUUACUUAGUAGAAAUUAACUCUUUUCAGGUAGCUCUCCUUCUCCCUUCCUUUUUUUAAUGAAUAAAAAAAACAUGACAGCUGUAUGGAGAGAAAAAUGUUUAGUGGUUGUAAUUAUUGUGCUGUUUAUAUCACAAAACUGAGAUCUUAUUAAAGCCAGAUGAGCUGUAGGCUGCUGUGUGACUUGGAAGCACUUCCUCAUUCAGUGACAGUGCCAGCAACGCUACGGUCAUACUCUGAAACGCUUUGAAGCUGCCGUUGGAGAAAUCACAGCUCUGCUCUAUGCCUCAGACUACAAAGGUUUAUACUACGUGGUGGCUACCAUAACUUUCAGUGUGUGCACAGUCUCCUCCACAGUCUACAAGAAUUUUCUCGCAGCUGGCAUUCCCACAUUACUCCAUCCUCCCUGGACAAAUGAUACUUUCUCAUUUUUAGCACCGUCAACUCUUCCGACUGCAGCUGUAUGAGCCUCACCGUAAGGCAGAUGGCAGCCUUUCCUCAGUCUGCCUCACGUGUUUUCUCUUUCAUCAAAAUGGCUGUCAUCUUCCAUUUUGGGCACAUGGGUGUACAGCAGAUGAUUCACCACCAUUUUUCUGUGUAUGAGUGCAAGGCUGAGCUUUGGCACAAGUGCUGCCCUCCGCUGCAGAUAGUGAGGUUAAAGUUGAGCCCAGUGACAAAUCGAUGGGAGCUGUGAAAAUACCACAGGGCAAUAAAGUAAGAUGGAAGUGGGCAGCAGAAGUGAGACUGGGAUCUUGCUGAGGGAGGGAAAGCAAGUCGCUGAGCAUUGGGAAAAGCCAGGCAGGCAACUGUUGUGAACAGACCAUGAGGCAUCUCAUCUGGGCAUCUGCAGAAAAAUAUCCAGACUUCCCACAGUUUACAGAGCAAAAUUCAGCAUCGCAACCCCUGGUCUGAUGUGAGGCUGAAGAAGAGGUGCUGCUGUGGUCCCAACUACAUGACAAGUCCAAGGGGAACUGAAAGAAGGAGCUUUUGAAGAUUCAGAUACUUCCUUACUAUUUGAAAACUCUAUUUUUAAUCUGCAUUUAAUGUAAUGAUUUAUCUGUAGUUCAAACACACAUUUUAAAUUACUUUUGAAGUGUUUUCAAUGCAUGAGAAUUCUUUAUUAUAAAGACUAGAGAUUCCAACCAUAAUUAUAGCACUCAGCAAUGGAAGCUUAUUAGUCUAAAGUUUUUCUAGGAGUUAACAAGAUGGCUAAUGUCAGUACGUGUAGAGGGAGGUUGUAGAAUUUUUUAUUAGAAAGAAAUCUGAAAGACUUUGUCUUAAAUAAAAUCUGAACAUGAAUAUGAAAUGUAUGUUGCCAUUAACUGCUAUAGUACCUUUCUGUUCUAUUUCCUAGCUUUUGACUGUAAUAGUUUAUCAGUGUAUGCUCAACAAAUAGUUUACCAGUGUAUGCUCAACAGUUAUUUAAUUUUAUCACAGCUGUACCUAUCCUUAAAUAACCUUUCCUGAAAUGCUCUCUUUUCUUCAGAUUGUUGUUAUGUUCAAACCUCAGGGCAGCUGCUAACAGAUCAUUUUUAAUCCAUAACAGUAGGAGUCAUUUUGUGUCACAGUUGUUCUAUUAGAUGUUCUGGAGAAAAGAGAAAUCAUUUGUUUAACUUCAUAAUCUUUGUUUAUGAUGCUCAUAUGGGAAAACUGCAUUAAUAUUUGAAGUUUCGCAUGUUCUGCCACUGUUCUCCAAGUUCCCGAGUCUUGACCCUUGAAACCAAUGAAGGGUACUAACCCUUUUGAUUUUAUUGAUAACAUUUUACACAGUAGGUCACUGAAGCCAGACUUACCCUGCCCAAAAACAUGAACUAUGUACAGGCUGAAUACACGGUGCAAGUGUAUUCAGGGUAAGAGCUUGAGCAUUCCUUGCUCCUCCUGAAGUAUAUCAUACUGCCUGCAAUAAAUCAUCCUGAAGACAGA